rnacentral:rRNA from 1 species
AUUGAACGCUGGCGGCAUGCCUUACACAUGCAAGUCGAACGGUAACGGGUCCUUCGGGAUGCCGACGAGUGGCGAACGGGUGAGUAAUAUAUCGGAACGUGCCCAGUAGUGGGGGAUAACUGCUCGAAAGAGCAGCUAAUACCGCAUACGACCUGAGGGUGAAAGGGGGGGAUCGCAAGACCUCACGCUAUUGGAGCGGCCGACAUCAGAUUAGCUAGUUGGUGGGGUAAAGGCCUACCAAGGCAACGAUCUGUAGUUGGUCUGAGAGGACGACCAGCCACACUGGGACUGAGACACGGCCCAGACUCCUACGGGAGGCAGCAGUGGGGAAUUUUGGACAAUGGGCGCAAGCCUGAUCCAGCAAUGCCGCGUGCAGGAAGAAGGCCUUCGGGUUGUAAACUGCUUUUGUCAGGGAAGAAAUCUUCUGGGCUAAUACCCCGGGAGGAUGACGGUACCUGAAGAAUAAGCACCGGCUAACUACGUGCCAGCCGCCGCAGUAA